rnacentral:rRNA from 1 species
CUAGCGUAAAAUAUUACUGCUGCGGUUAAAAAGCUCGUAGUUGAAUCUCGUCGUGUCCGUUGGGUUUGUCGUUGGCGUUAAUUCGUCUCUGGCGUUAAUUCACGGCCGAUUUUUGCUGGUUUGCUGUUGGUCUUCGGAUCUUCGGUGGCUAGCGAGUUACUUUGAUCAAAUCAGAGUGCUCAAAACAGGCGAAAGCUUGUAUGAUUUCUCGAGGAAUAACAGAAGAGGACUUCGGUUCUAUUUGUUGGUUCCAGAAUCGUUUAAUGGUUAAGAGGGACAAUUCGGGGGCAAACGUAUCCUCGCGCGAGGGGUGAAAUCCGUAGACCGUGAGGAGACGACCAAUAG